rnacentral:rRNA from 1 species
UACGUAGGGUGCAAGCGUUAAUCGGAAUUACUGGGCGUAAAGCGUGCGCAGGCGGUGAUGUAAGACAGCUGUGAAAUCCCCGGGCUCAACCUGGGAACUGCAUCUGUGACUGCAUCGCUGGAGUGCGGCAGAGGGGGAUGGAAUUCCGCGUGUAGCAGUGAAAUGCGUAGAUAUGCGGAGGAACACCGAUGGCGAAGGCAAUCCCCUGGGCCUGCACUGACGCUCAUGCACGAAAGCGUGGGGAGCAAACAGG